GUAACUAUGGUUUCAUUCCAAGGACCAGAGAGCAGCUAUUGAUGAACACCGUGUUUCAUUCAAAAAGAGCAACGUUCAGCAAGUGGUUAUGCUGUUGCAGUCCCUGUGUAUAAUUGAGUUGAUUUUUCGGGUGAUUGGGGGCGAUGCGAUCCCCUCCAUAGAAUAUUGUAAUGCUGCUGCUGAUUUGUGUUGUACUGUACUCGUCAUCAAACAGGUUUUCGUGGCAUGAACUAAACUCAACAAGCUCCAAGCACUUGAGAGUUUCUUUCUUGCUAAGGUGUCA